rnacentral:rRNA from 1 species
GGGCCCGCACAAGCGGUGGAGUAUGUGGUUUAAUUCGAUGCAACGCGAAGAACCUUACCAGGGUUUGACAUCCUGCGAAUCUCUUGGAAACAGGAGAGUGCCUUCGGGAACGCAGUGACAGGUGGUGCAUGGCUGUCGUCAGCUCGUGUCGUGAGAUGUUGGGUUAAGUCCCGCAACGAGCGCAACCCACGUCUUUAGUUGCCAGCAUUUAGUUGGGCACUCUAGAGAGACUGCCGGUGAUAAACCGGAGGAAGGUGUGGAUGACGUCAAGUCAUCAUGCCCCUUACAUCCAGGGCUACACACGUGUUACAAUGGUUAGUACAAAGGGCUGCAAGUUCGCGAGGACAAGCAAAUCCCAUAAACCGUGGCUCAGUUCAGAUCGUAGGCUGCAACUCGCCUACGUGAAGGCGGAAUCGCUAGUAAUCGCAGGU